UGUGGUAUUUACAUAUGUGUGUGUGUGACUGCUGCACACACUUUAAGAGCUGUAGUGCUGAUCAGAGUGUGUUCAGUCCUUUCAGAGCCACUGACACGCAGCACAAUGAUGAUGGUACUGAUUCUACUGCUGGGGACACUGGGACUCCUCGCUCACCAGUCCUUUGGGGAAAUCGUCCUGACUCAGUCUCCAGGAUCUCAGACUGUUUCUCCAGGAGACACUGUUACUCUCAGCUGUACAACCAGUCAGAGUGUUAGCAGUUACCUCGCCUGGUACCUGCAGAAACCUGGAGAAGCUCCUAAACUCCUGAUCUAUGCUGCAACUUCUCGUCAGUCUGGGAUUCCAGAUCGUUUCAUUGGCAGUGGAUCUGGUACACAGUUUAGUCUAAAAAUCUCUGGAGUUCAGUCUGAAGAUGCAGGAGAUUAUUACUGUCAGCAGUACACCAGCUAUCCGUACACACAGUGUUAUAGCGCCGUACAAAAACCUUCCUUUAGCUGUAGAGGAAGUGCUCUGAGUCAGAAACACACACUGAUCUGAGAACAGCUGCAGAGCUGCUAAAGCUGCACUCAACUGAACUUCAUCAGUUUUCCCGUUCAUUAUCACUUCUUCAUCUCAUCUCAGGCUGUGCAAGGGUUUUUUUUCUACCAUCAC